rfam:Oryza meridionalis cultivar OR44 (W2112) chromosome 2, whole genome shotgun sequence.
UUUAAGUGCAGUUGUGGAUUUCCGUGUCCAACAUUUGACUGUUUGUCGUAUUUGAAAUUUUUUUAUGAUUAGUAUUUUUAUUGUUAUUAGAUAAUAAAAUAUGAACAAUACUUUAUGCGUGACUUAUUUUCUUAAUUGUUUCAUAAAUUUUUCAAAUAAGACGGAUGGUCAAAUGUUAGACACGGAAACCCGCAAACUGCACUUAAA